GACGAACGCUGGCGGCGUGCCUAAUACAUGCAAGUCGAGCGCAGGAAAUCGACGGAACCCUUCGGGGGGAAGUCGACGGAAUGAGCGGCGGACGGGUGAGUAACACGUAAAGAACCUGCCCUCAGCUCUGGGAUAACCACGAGAAAUCGGGGCUAAUACCGGACGGGUCCUCGGACCGCAUGGUCCGAGGAUGGAAGGCGCUUCGGCGUCGCCGGGGGUGGGCUUUGCGGUGCAUUAGCUAGUUGGUGGGGUAAUGGCCCACCAAGGCGACGAUGCAUAGCCGACCUGAGAGGGUGAUCGGCCACACUGGGACUGAGACACGGCCCAGACUCCUACGGGAGGCAGCAGUAGGGAAUCUUCCACAAUGGACGAAAGUCUGAUGGAGCAACGCCGCGUGAACGAUGAAGGCCUUCGGGUCGUAAAGUUCUGUUGUAAGGGAAGAACAAGUGCCGCAGGCAAUGGCGGCACCUUGACGGUACCUUGCGAGAAAGCCACGGCUAACUACGUGCCAGCCGCCGCGGUAA
rnacentral:rRNA from 1 species